AGUCCUUUACUGACGCUAAAAGCUCGAAGGUGCGGGUAUCGAACAGGAUUAGAUACCCUGGUAGUCCGCACGGUAAACGAUGGAUGCCCGCUGUCGGCGACAGACUGUCGGCGGCCAAGCGAAAGCGUUAAGCAUCCCACCUGGGGGAGUACGCCGGCAACGGUGAAACUCAAAGGAAUUGACGGGGGCCCGCACAAGCGGAGGAACAUGUGGUUUAAUUCGAUGAUACGCGAGGAACCUUACCCGGGCUUGAACUGCAGCAGAACGAUCCAGAGAUGGUGAGGCCCUUCGGGGCUGCUGUGGAGGUGCUGCAUGGUUGUCGUCAGCUCGUGCCGUGAGGUGUCGGCUUAAGUGCCAUAACGAGCGCAACCCCUUUCGCCAGUUGCCAUCAGGUGAUGCUGGGCACUCCGGCGACACUGCCACCGCAAGGUGCGAGGAAGGUGGGGAUGACGUCAAAUCAGCACGGCCUUGACGGCCGGGGCUACACACGCCUUACAAUGGGUGGUACAGAGAGUCGGCCAUGCGCAAGGCCGGUCCAAUCAAGAAAGCCAUCCUCAGUUCGGAUUGGGGUAUGCAACCCGACCCCAUGAAGCUGGAUUC
rnacentral:rRNA from 1 species